UACCACUGUCGCGUCAGCCAGCGGGGAGGCCGGGGCCUCCAGAUCUGGUGCUGAUCCCGGCCUCCCUGCUGGUGGAUCCGGCUGUCCGG
rnacentral:pre_miRNA from 1 species